rnacentral:ncRNA from 20 species
AUAAAUGAUGAACAACGGGUCUACUGAGAUCUGCUCGACGGAGUGGGUCGGUGAAGAGCCGUUGGAGCACUGAUG